rnacentral:rRNA from 1 species
UGAACGCUAGCUACAGGCUUAACACAUGCAAGUCGAGGGGCAGCAUGGUCUUAGCUUGCUAAGGCCGAUGGCGACCGGCGCACGGGUGAGUAACACGUAUCCAACCUGCCGUCUACUCUUGGACAGCCUUCUGAAAGGAAGAUUAAUACAAGAUGGCAUCAUGAGUCCGCAUGUUCACAUGAUUAAAGGUAUUCCGGUAGACGAUGGGGAUGCGUUCCAUUAGAUAGUAGGCGGGGUAACGGCCCACCUAGUCUUCGAUGGAUAGGGGUUCUGAGAGGAAGGUCCCCCACAUUGGAACUGAGACACGGUCCAAACUCCUACGGGAGGCAGCAGUGAGGAAUAUUGGUCAAUGGGCGAGAGCCUGAACCAGCCAAGUAGCGUGAAGGAUGACUGCCCUAUGGGUUGUAAACUUCUUUUAUAAAGGAAUAAAGUCGGGUAUGGAUACCCGUUUGCAUGUACUUUAUGAAUAAGGAUCGGCUAACUCCGUGCCAGCAGCCGCGGUAAUACGGAGGAUCCGAGCGUUAUCCGGAUUUAUUGGGUUUAAAGGGAGCGUAGAUGGAUGUUUAAGUCAGUUGUGAAAGUUUGCGGCUCAACCGUAAAAUUGCAGUUGAUACUGGAUAUCUUGAGUGCAGUUGAGGCAGGCGGAAUUCGUGGUGUAGCGGUGAAACGCUUAGAUAUCACGAAGAACUCCGAUUGCGAAGGCAGCCUGCUAAGCUGCAACUGACAUUGAGGCUCGAAAGUGUGGGUAUCAAACAGGAUUAGAUACCCUGGUAGUCCACACGGUAAACGAUGAAUACUCGCUGUUUGCGAUAUACAGCAAGCGGCCAAGCGAAAGCGUUAAGUAUUCCACCUGGGGAGUACGCCGGCAACGGUGAAACUCAAAGGAAUUGACGGGGGCCCGCACAAGCGGAGGAACAUGUGGUUUAAUUCGAUGAUACGCGAGGAACCUUACCCGGGCUUAAAUUGCAGAUGAAUUACGGUGAAAGCCGUAAGCCGCAAGGCAUCUGUGAAGGUGCUGCAUGGUUGUCGUCAGCUCGUGCCGUGAGGUGUCGGCUUAAGUGCCAUAACGAGCGCAACCCUUGUUGUCAGUUACUAACAGGUUCUGCUGAGGACUCUGACAAGACUGCCAUCGUAAGAUGUGAGGAAGGUGGGGAUGACGUCAAAUCGGCACGGCCCUUACGUCCGGGGCUACACACGUGUUACAAUGGGGGGUACAGAGGGCCGCUACCACGCGAGUGGAUGCCAAUCCCCAAAACCUCUCUCAGUUCGGACUGGAGUCUGCAACCCGACUCCACGAAGCUGGAUUCGCUAGUAAUCGCGCAUCAGCCACGGCGCGGUGAAUACGUUCCCGGGCCUUGUACACACCGCCCGUCAAGCCAUGGGAGCCGGGGGUACCUAAAGUCCGUGACCGCGAGGGUCGGCCUAGGGUGAAACCGGUGAUUGGG